UGAAGAGAGGAGGAGAAAGAAGAGGAGGAGGAGGAAGAGAAGGAAGAGGAGGAGAAAGAGGAGGAUGAAGAGCAGGGGGAAGAUUUUGAUUCCCUGUCCCCGUGAGAAUUGCUGAUGACUACUUCUGGACACAGAUAUCAUGCUGAGAACUGUUUAUCAAAAUGAUUUAACAGAAUAUUAAUGUUCAUAGAAGACAUGUCAAUGUUCCUGAGGGCAUGCAGCCCUGGAAAAGAGAGCCAGAUGGCAGAGGCAAGCAGUGUGGAAUGUUCUUACUGAGGAAGACCUUCUCAAAGCUGAUGAUGUAAUAGGUAUGAAGGAGCAUUUCAUGGGAGUCACAGUCCCAUGCCCCUGUGUCAGGGCACACAGAGCUCCUAGGCUUGCAUCCUGCGUGAGAGGGGACCUGGAAUAUUCCCUGAUCCCCACAGGGUCCUGGAUUGCAUGGUUCCCCCUCAGUUAUGGUCCUCACUGUGCCUCAUGGGGUACGCAGCUUCUACGGGCUGAAUUUAUAUCAGUGAUUAACUGGAGCUGGACCACAACCACACCACAGGCAAGCCCUGGGCACUGAGGACAUUAAGAGCAACAGACAACAUCUCCUCCACUGCUUCUGACUCUGCUCCACAAGGCAAGGUAGCUCCCACACAGCAGUCAUCCAGCCUAACUCCCAGCAGGGAGAGUGUGAGAUGUCUGUGGAUGAGCCCACAGGGACUACAGGAUUCUGAGGGAAGACAUCUGGUAGCUUCUGGAGCAGCUGCAGCAGCCAGGACACAUGAACUACAGUGGAGUUCAGAUCCUCAGCUGGCCUCAUCACCGACAGUCCCAUGAGGAGUGGGUGUUUGUUUCCUGCUUCACAGUUAGGGCAGGAACAAGCCCAGACGCAGUCUUGCUUUUAACUACUGGACCCAACACAAAGCCUCCCUUGCAGGCUUACCAGAGCAUGAAAAUGAAAUGGCCACCUCCUGUAAACAGAAAGACUUCUAGAAGAGGAAGGAGACAUCAAUACAUUCACAAAACCUUCAACUCGAAAUCUGUCUUGCCAAUAAGUGUGCAGGGAUAAAGGUAAAGCAGAUAUUGAGGGACCA
rnacentral:sRNA from 1 species